GAGUUUGAUCAUGGCUCAGAGCGAACGCUGGCGGCAGGCCUAAUACAUGCAAGUCGAACGGAUCCUUCGGGAUUAGUGGCGGACGGGUGAGUAACACGUGGGAGCGUGCCCUUUGGUUCGGAACAACUCAGGGAAACUUGAGCUAAUACCGGAUAAGCCCUUCGGGGGAAAGAUUUAUCGCCAUUGGAGCGGCCCGCGUCUGAUUAGCUAGUUGGUGGGGUAACGGCCCACCAAGGCUACGAUCAGUAGCUGGUCUGAGAGGAUGAUCAGCCACACUGGGACUGAGACACGGCCCAGACUCCUACGGGAGGCAGCAGUAGGGAAUCUUGCGCAAUGGGCGAAAGCCUGACGCAGCCAUGCCGCGUGAAUGAUGAAAGUCUUAGGAUUGUAAAAUUCUUUCAGCGGGGAAGAUAAUGACGGUACCCGCAGAAGAAGCCCCGGCUAACUUCGUGCCAGCAGCCGCGGUAAUACG
rnacentral:rRNA from 1 species